AUUGAACGCUGGCGGCAGGCCUAACACAUGCAAGUCGAGCGCGUGGCGGACGGGUGAGUACUUUCUGGGGAUCUGCCUGAUGGAGGGGGAUAACUACUGGAAACGGUAUCUAAUACCGCAUACCCUCCGCUGCGCCCAUAUGGGAUUAGCUAGUAGGUAGGGUAACGGCUUACCUAGGCGACGCUCCCUAGCUGGUCUGAGAGGAUGACCGGCCACACUGGGACUGAGACACGGCCCAGACUCCUACGGGAGGCAGCAGUGGGGAAUAGUGCACAAUGGGCGCAAGCCUGAUGCAGCCAGGCCGCGUGUAUGAAGAAGGCCUUCGGGUUGGAAAGUACUUUCAGUGGGGAGGCGUUACCCACAGAAGAAGCACCGGCUAACUACGUGCCAGCAGCCGCGGUAAUUC
rnacentral:rRNA from 1 species